UCACUAUCAUCACUGCUACAAUAUGCCA
rnacentral:sRNA from 1 species